UGAAGCCCAGUUCAAGGCCCAGGAACAAAGUGGGGAAGUAACUGAUCUGUCUUUUGGUCUCUCCCCUCCCUUUCACCCCCUGCCUUGUAGGUCUUCCUCUUUGAUAAAUAGAGGAAAGCCGGUGGGAUCAGGUACAUAUAUAAAUAGUGUUGACCUCCUCGGCCCCUCCUCAUUGAAAAGCAGAAAGCCCAUUACAGGGGCAGGUUGCUCAGUGCCUUUGAGUAUCCACCAUUACCACCCCGUGGACUUUACUGGACCCCAGACUACUUACUUGGCAUCCCUGUCUUGUUGAAAACAUCCAGGACAACUAUUAAAUAGUUCUCAGAAGAAUUAAAGACAUUCUUCAGGUCUGAAACAUUUUUAAAGCCCUGGAUGAAAUCUUCAAGGAGCACAAAGUAUAAUCGGUGGGACCACCUGAGGAAGUCUGAAAGCUUUGUCCCCCACCCCUCCCCAAAGUUAAUCAAAGAUACUGUAGACGUCAUUGUGCUCACUAAGGGGUUUUUCCGCAUUGUAACCUACAGAUUGUCCAGACCAAGCUACCAAGACAUUUAUUUUCAUUUUGUUAGUUUCUGGGCACUACACUUUCUGAUUAGACUUGUUUAUUUUUAAAAACUCUGCUGGAGAGUUUCCAACCUUGGAGGUGCAAAUGAAAACGACUCUCCCUCCCAGGUUCUUACAGGGUGGGGGAGGAGCACAAACCCGUCUGGUCCCAACUCAGACCUGGAGGUUGCCCGUCUGAACCUGGGUGGAGUGAGGGUAGCUGGUUCGGGCACCUUGUAUUUCAGUGCUGGCACAAAGCGAGCUCUUUGAAAUGAAUAUCUAUUCUAUUUCAGUGUGCAAUGUUCCAGCCGACUAAAUGGGCUUGCCUUCUGCCGAGAGGCAGUCCUGGAGGACACAACUAAUGUGCAAUCUCCCAGGCAGCUCUUCAUCAGAACAUCCCUUGUCCUUUUGUUUUUGUUUUCGUAUUAAAAGAUGUUUUUGCUUUCCUCUCAGUGUCCGUCCUGUUAUUUUGUAGCUACAACAAUGAAACAGGAACAGUUUAUCAUUCUUUUUUGUCCUUUGUAACCAUGCCUUGUAUUGGGAUGUCACAAAGCCCCAGAUACACCUCAGCGUGCCCUGUGCUUUUGAUGUUUA
rnacentral:lncRNA from 1 species